AACCAAAAAUCCACGUAUAUGAUUAGCAUCUGUGAGAGGUGCACUUAUUAUACUGAUGUGUGCACAGAACCGUAUGAAAUCUGUUUUGUAAUACACGUGGAUCAGAUGUGUGUUAAAGAUGUGUGUGCAAUAUGUACUUCACUCGUGAUUACCAAUGUGAUGUUCUGCUAUGUAUCACAAGUGAGGAAGGAGCUGCUCUGCUACACAUCUGUGCAUGUGAGCAAAUGAGAGCUUGUGAUUUAAAUUGUUUAUUACUGUAGCUAUUAAGAAGCAGGCAUUAACGCUUGUUGACAGUGUGGAAAGGUGCAGACUCACAUGAAGGUUUGUUAGACAACCAGAGUUUAAUACUUUGGUUAUUUUUAUGUAGGGUAGAACAACUGGCCAGACAGCUAGAUGCCAGACAGCUAGAUGCCAGACAGCUAGACGCCAGACAGCUAGACGUCAGUCAUCUAUAGAGUGGAAACGCAUGGCUGCUUUUAUUGUGACCUCUUAUGUGACUAACUAUGAAUGGCUCGCACUUUCAAAAGUGUUCAGAGUUGCAUAGUGUGUUUCAUUUUGAAAAGCAGACAAGUAUGUAAGGGGUUCUUAUACCUGGUAAGGAAUGCAACCCACACAUAAAAAAAAAUGGAAGUGCACCCGCUGCUCAACCUUGUGGAAAACCUUGCUGUCUCUUCGGUCCCACUGCUGCUUUCAAUUAACACUGAAAGGUGUGAAGCCUUUAAUUUAUAUUGAUGAGGGAGAAGAAAGUUUUUCAAAUAGACGAGCCCUAAGUGGUGAUAUUACUGCUUCGUUUUCAACAGCAUUGAGAUUUGUCUAUUCAAGUGGCUAUUACCAGAGUGAGAUUUUCAACAGUGUGUUGCUGGGUUGACUAAUCUCUACAACCAGCAUGGAAUGGCUUGGUGUCUCAUCACACAUCUUGGCAAGGCUAUAUCAGUCUGGAGCAGCACUGAGAAAGGUAUUGUACAUGCAUGGAUUAAGCUAUAAUUAUGUUUGUUUGCAUGCUAUCUAAAAACAAGGCUCAACCAACAAGUUGAGAGAUAUUGCCAGAUAUUGCCUUGUCUUUCAAUGGCACCAAUCAGAAUGGUGUGAAGUCCAAGGGAUUACGAUAUACAUUCAUCAUAGUCUUGGAUGUUUUGGUGCAAACGUAUAUGGAGCAGUUUAUGGACACAUGUACGAAUUACUUCUUGCUUGAAUAUUGUGUAUGCAGGACUCCUGUUGUUCAUUCUAAUUGCUUAAUUGACAGCAUAUAGUGGUCUGUGCCAUAAUGGAAGAAGAAUCUUCCCCCUUCCACCUCGCCAAAAUGAGAGGCUUUUGACCCUUCGGACUGAACACAUAAACACAUGUUCCUGACAUGUACAUAUGUUACACUGGACAAUUCGACCUACGGGAGCUCGAGUUGGGUUUCACCAUAUACAAUGAGCAAGACUGUCCGUUGUUAACUUAACAUUACUACGCAGCCUUUUACAAUCGAACAAGAACGAGAGCAACUUAGCAUAGUAAUUUUUAUAAGUUGUCCUCUAGCUAUUUUAACCAUCCUUUUCAUACAUG